rnacentral:rRNA from 1 species
AUGACAAACAAAGGCAUCGAGCAGAUCGGGCAAUUCCUCUGUUUCUUUCCCCAUCUUCUCGUUCUUCUUCCUCUCGAGCAAUUCCUCUGUUUCUUUCCCCAUCUUCUCGUUCUUCUUCCUCUCGAGCAAUUCCUCUGUUUCUUUCCCCAUCUUCUCGUUCUUCUUCCUCUCGAGCAAUUCCUCUGUUUCUUUCCCCAUCUUCUCGUUCUUCUUCCUCUCGAGCAAUUCCUCUGUUUCUUCCUCUCAGGCGAUAUGUCGACCUCCUCGUCAGCCCCCCGUUCCACGUGGCCGGUGUAUGGUCCAGUGCCGAUGACUCGAUGCACUGACUGCCCAUGGACUGCGCCACUGAAGCGGUUGACUUCGAAGGAGGAGAAGAAUGGGAACUUUGGGCGCGAGUUCGUCAAAUGCGAGAGCAAGCCGGAGGGGCAGAUCGUGAAGAAAUGCCACCAUUUCAAGUGGAUGGAUGAUUACAUCCAGAGGCUUCAAGGGUUGGGCUUGCUGGAUUCGAGGGGGAAUGCAAUCCGCGAGUUCAAUCUGCCCCAUGACAUUGCCACUCCGGCAGCAGCAGCGCGUCCGGAAUACCCGACGGUGGUAGAUGUCGAACUGAAGACGGAAUUGAAGAAGAUGAACAAGAACUUCAAGCAGCUAAUUGAGUUGAAGAAGCAACCCAAUCUGAUAGCUUUAGGAAUACUUGCUCUAGGAAUUUUUUACUUGAUGGCCAUCUCUCGUUAG